rnacentral:rRNA from 1 species
GAUGAACGCUGGCGGCGUGCCUAAUACAUGCAAGUCGAGCGAACAGACGAGGAGCUUGCUCCUCUGACGUUAGCGGCGGACGGGUGAGUAACACGUGGAUAACCUACCUAUAAGACUGGGAUAACUUCGGGAAACCGGAGCUAAUACCGGAUAAUAUAUUGAACCGCAUGGUUCAAUAGUGAAAGACGGUUUUGCUGUCACUUAUAGAUGGACCCGCGCCGCAUUAGCUAGUUGGUAAGGUAACGGCUUACCAAGGCGACGAUGCGUAGCCGACCUGAGAGAGUGAUCGGCCACACUGGAACUGAGACACGGUCCAGACUCCUACGGGAGGAAGCAGUAGGGAAUCUUCCGCAAUGGGCGAAAGCCUGCCGGAGCAACGCCGCGUGAGUGAUGAAGGUCUUCGGAUCGUAAAACUCUGUUAUUAGGGAAGAACAAAUGUGUAAGUAACUAUGCACGUCUUGACGGUACCUAAUCAGAAAGCCACGGCUAACUACGUG